GACGAACCGUGCGAACGUUGUUCGGAAUCACUGGGCUUAAAGGGCGCGUAGGCGGGUGUGCAAGUCUGUGGUGAAAGCCUCCAGCUUAACUGGAGAAGUGCCAUGGAUACUGCACAUCUUGAGGAGGGUAGGGGCAUCUGGAACGGUCGGUGGAGCGGUGAAAUGCGUUGAUAUCGUUGGGAACACCGAAAGCGAAGGCAGGCAACUGGGUACUACCUGACACUGCUAGGACGAAAGCGUGGGGAGCGAACAGG
rnacentral:rRNA from 1 species